rnacentral:rRNA from 1 species
AGCAGCCGCCGCGGGAAUACAGAGGGUGCGAGCGUUAAUCGGAUUUACUGGGCGUAAAGCGUGCGUAGGCGGCUAAUUGAGUCGGAUGUGAAAUCCCCGAGCUUAACUUGGGAAUUGCAUUCGAUACUGGUUAGCUAGAGUGUGGGAGAGGAUGGUAGAAUUCCAGGUGUAGCGGUGAAAUGCGUAGAGAUCUGGAGGAAUACCGAUGGCGAAGGCAGCCAUCUGGCCUAACACUGACGCUGAGGUACGAAAGCAUGGGGAGCAAACAGGAUUAGAUACCCGAGUAGUCCCUGUCUCUUAUAC